rnacentral:misc_RNA from 1 species
CAACACUAAAGGCUAGGCCUAUGGGAAGACACCCGGAAAAAGAGUCACGCCCUAUAAGUCGAGGAGGUACAACGCAAGAAAGAGGCUAUGGCAAUGCUGCUUACACAACCAGAAAGCCAGUCCCGCGCUCCACCCCUUAGCCUCACUCUACGAACCAACUGAAGGACUGGACUACAUACGGAAUACGUACUUUAGGGAUUAGGGGAUAGAGGGAAUGGUCCCAGACCCGGAUAGACAUAAACUCGAUCUACAGG